GGCUCCAUGGCUCAGUGGCAGAGCUUAUGUCUAGUAAACAGGAGAUCGUGGGUUCGAUCCCCACUGGAGCCU
rnacentral:tRNA from 1 species